rnacentral:rRNA from 1 species
AUGUUGCCGACAGAUUUAUUUGAAAGGCUCAUAGUUACACUUUGGGCAAUCUGGGGAGAGCGGAGAAAGGCUAUCCAUGAGGAUAUUUUUCAGUCUCCGAGCUCCACUAAUGGUUUCAUCAAUAGCUACUUGCGGGAUCUCCAUGUUUUGAAACCCAAGCAUCAGAUACCAAGUGCUACUGCAGCUAAUAGGUCCACUCGAUGGAUCAGGCCGGUUGAGGAUACGGCAAAGGUGAAUGUGGAUGCCGCUGUCUCUCGACGCGGCUACAGUGCGAUUGGCGCCAUAUGCAGGGAUCAGAAUGGGGUUUUCUUGGGAGCGUCCUCCCUUUUUUUCAGAAAUAUAGAUGAUCCACAGACCCUCGAGGCGCUUGCGAUAAGGGAGGCUUUAGCUCUCUCGGACGACCUUUAUCUUUGGAGGAUCCAUGUCGCAUCGGACUGCAAGGGGGUGGUCGAGGAAGUACGGAAGGAAAAUGCAACAAGUUAUGGAGCAGUUAUUCAUGAAAUAGUAGACCACUCUCUGUCUUUUGAUUUCUGUAAAUUUAGUCAUGAGUUUAGGAGCUUGAAUUAUGAAGCUCACAACUUAGCGAAACAUGCUCUUACUCUCGGUGAUGGCCGCCAUGUUUGGUUAGGGCAUCCCGGGAAUCUCUCUUUCGUCCUUGUAAACGUGGUGACGGGUUAA